AAUAUUGGACAAUGGGGGCAACCCUGAUCCAGCCAUGCCGCGUGUGUGAAGAAGGUCUUCGGAUUGUAAAGCACUUUACGUUGGGAGGAUGGGCUUUAGGUUAAUACCCUGAAGUUUUGACGUUACCAACAGAAUAAACACCGGCUAACCGUGUGCCAGCAGCCACGGUAAUACAGAGGGUGCAAGCGUUAAUCGGAAUUACUGGUCGUAAAGAGCGCGUAGGUGGUUCAGUAAGAUGGGUGUGAAAUCCCCGGGCUUAACCUGGGAACUGCUUUCAUAACUGAUGAGCUAGAGUACGGUAGAGGGUAGUGGAAUUUCCUGUGUAGCGGUGAAAUGCGUAGAUAUAGGAAGGAACACCAGUGGCGAAGGCGACUACCUGGACUGAUACUGACACUGAGGUGCGAAAGCGUGGGGAGCAAAC
rnacentral:rRNA from 1 species